GUCGGAUAUGACAAUGAAUAUGCCAAUAGAGCGGGAACUUGUCUUAAUGGCACGUGUAUUCUGCCACACGUACCACUUGGAUGCACAGGAGUGCCACCUCCGGAACAGAAAGCAGGUGAACGUCCCCAGCUGGGCUGCACAUAUCUCUGUUUCAAUGAUUCUGAAAAUAGAGUAGAGUUUGCCUAUCACAAAGAAGGAACUCCUUGCAUGCACUAUAACAACAUAUCAACCAACGAGACAACCUGCAAAAAAUACGGAAAUAAAUACUUUGCCGUGAAGAGGAGGAGAAUGUUGAAGGGU
rnacentral:lncRNA from 1 species